GCUUAUUUAGUUUAAAGUUUUUAGAAUAAUAUUUUGAAAAGAUAUAGGUAUUUUUAGGCG
rnacentral:tRNA from 1 species